ensembl:lincRNA
CUCAUUCUGACCCUGUGCUCAUCAUUGGCCCUUACAAUGUAAUCUGAACAAUGGAACCAGAGACGUUAGCACUGUCCAGCCUCUCUCAUGAUCUUCGUCCUUCACCAGCACUUCAUGAAAUAAAUACAGAGUUUUCUGAGGAAAGUAUAAUAUAUUCAGACCUCAAAGUUCAUCGUUCUUCAAAUGUCCAGAAAGGAAAAAUAACUAAAACUUUGAAAACAAAAGUGUCUCCAUGGUGCAUUGCUGCUGUGAUAUUUGCCUUCCUUUAUUUAAUUGCCCUAGUAAUAGUUGCAGCUAUGGUAGCUAAGGUUCAUUGUCUUCAAGAGAUUCUGAGUAAAGCAAACAUUGAGACUGAACAUUGCAAAAUAAUAUCACAAAACAAAGGUAACCGAUCUUUCUCUGAAGAAAAUUGA